GUGGGGGUUCAAGUCCCCCCCGGAAUUGGUAGACGCGCUAGCUUCAGGUGUUAGUGUCCUUACGGACGUGGGGGUUCAAGUCCCCCCCCUCGCACCA
rnacentral:tRNA from 1 species